rnacentral:misc_RNA from 1 species
AGAUCUACGCCCGAGGCA